CCCUUAGAUGUCCUGGGCCGCACGCGCGCUACACUGACAUGUUCAACAAGCCUCCUAGUUCGACAGGAUUUGGGAAAUCUUUGAACGCAUGUCGUGAUAGGGAUAGAUCAUUGCAAUUAUUGAUCUUGAACGAGGAAUUCCUAGUAAACGCGAGUCAUCAGCUCGCAUUGAUUACGUCCCUGCCCUUUGUACACACCGCCCGUCGCACCUACCGAUUGAAUAUUUCGGUGAAGAUUCCGGAUAGGACUUUUUUGAUUUAUUUCAAUUCUGUCUUAAAAGCUAUCUAAACCUCAACAUUUAGAGGAAGGUGAAGUCGUAACA
rnacentral:rRNA from 1 species